CAGGCGCUAACCAGCCGCUCUGCGCCCCGCGCCCUGCUUGCCCCCAUUAUCCAGCCUUGCCCCGGCGCCCUGACCUGACGCCCUGCUUCGUCGCCUCCUUUCUCUCCUAGGUGCUGGACCAGGGACUGAGCGUCCCCCGGAGAGGGUCCGGUGUGACCCCGACAAGAAGCAGAAAUGGGGAAGAAACUGGAUCUUUCCAAGCUCACUGAUGAAGAGGCCCAGCAUGUCUUGGAAGUUGUUCAACGAGAUUUUGACCUCCGAAGGAAAGAAGAGGAAAGGCUAGAGGGGUUGAAGGGCAAGAUUAAGAAGGAAAGCUCCAAGAGGGAGCUGCUUUCCGACACUGCCCAUCUGAACGAGACCCACUGCGCCCACUGCCUGCAGCCCUACCGGCUGCUUGUGAAUAGCAAAAGGCAGUGCCUGGAAUGUGGCCUCUUCACCUGCAAAAGCUGUGGCCGCGUCCACCCGGAGGAGCAGGGCUGGAUCUGUGACCCCUGCCAUCUGGCCAGAGUCGUGAAGAUCGGCUCACUGGAGUGGUACUAUGAGCAUGUGAAAGCCCGCUUCAAGAGGUUCGGAAGUGCCAAGGUCAUCCGGUCCCUCCACGGGCGGCUGCAGGGUGGAGGUAAGGAGUGGAGAGUAAGAACGGCUUUUUGUUCCCAGGCAUUUUAGGAAUAUUAAAGCAGGUUCCUUUGGAGUGUGCAUGUGUGUGUGUGUACGUGUGUGUGUGCAUGUGUGUGUGCACAUGUGUGUGCGUGCACAUGCCUCUCUGUGAAUUCCUGCUUCUAGCUGCUUUUUUUUUUUUUUUAAUUUUUGUAGAGACAGGCAUCUCACCAUGUUUCCCAGACUGGCCUCGAACUCCUGGGCUCAAGCAAUCCACCCACCUCAGCCUCCCGAAGUGCUGGGGUUAUAAGUGUGAGCCACUGCGCCCUGUGAAAUUGGCUCCUUUUUAUGUGAGGUGCAAACCUCUGCAUCCCACUGGCCUGGUCUGAGCACCUCAGAAGUCCUGGGUGCUGUUGAAGUUGCCAAUAUUUGAAAUUAUAUUGUUUUCAAAUCUUCAAAGUAAGUUGAGAACUCAAAGCCAAGUUUCUGAAACCCAGCUGCUGAUUGAAUCACCAGGGUGCUUGUUAAUACUACAUGUUUUCC
rnacentral:sRNA from 1 species